CACGUGUAGCAGUGAAAUGCGUAGAGAUGUGGAGGAAUACCGAUGGCGAAGGCAGCCCCCUGGGAUAAUACUGACGUUCAUGCUCGAAAGCGUGGGUAGCAAACAGGAUUAGAUACCCUGGUAGUCCACGCCCUAAACGAUGUCAAUUAGCUGUUGGGGCACUUGAUGCCUUAGUAGCGAAGCUAACGCGUGAAAUUGACCGCCUGGGGAGUACGGUCGCAAGAUUAAAACUCAAAGGAAUUGACGGGGACCCGCACAAGCGGUGGAUGAUGUGGAUUAAUUCGAUGCAACGCGAAGAACCUUACCUGGUCUUGACAUGUACGGAAUCUUCCAGAGACGGAAGAGUGCCUUCGGGAGCCGUAACACAGGUGCUGCAUGGCUGUCGUCAGCUCGUGUCGUGAGAUGUUGGGUUAAGUCCCGCAACGAGCGCAACCCUUGUCAUUAGUUGCCACCAUUUAGUUGGGCACUCUAAUGAGACUGCCGGUGACAAACCGGAGGAAGGUGGGGAUGACGUCAAGUCCUCAUGGCCCUUAUGACCAGGGCUUCACACGUCAUACAAUGGUCGGUACAGAGGGUAGCCAAGCCGCGAGGUGGAGCCAAUCUCAGAAAACCGAUCAUAGUCCGGAUUGCACUCUGCAACUCGAGUGCAU
rnacentral:rRNA from 1 species